rnacentral:rRNA from 1 species
CCUACGGGCGGCAGCAGUGAGGAAUAUUGGUCAAUGGACGAGAGUCUGAACCAGCCAAGUAGCGUGAAGGAUGACUGCCCUAUGGGUUGUAAACUUCUUUUAUAAAGGAAUAAAACGAGGCACGUGUGCCUUUUUGCAUGUACUUUAUGAAUAAGGAUCGGCUAACUCCGUGCCAGCAGCCGCGGUAAUACGGAGGAUCCGAGCGUUAUCCGGAUUUAUUGGGUUUAAAGGGAGCGUAGAUGGGUUGUUAAGUCAGUUGUGAAAGUUUGCGGCUCAACCGUAAAAUUGCAAUUGAUACUGGCAGUCUUGAGUACGGUUGAGGUAGGCGGAAUUCGUGGUGUAGCGGUGAAAUGCUUAGAUAUCACGAAGAACCCCGAUUGCGAAGGCAGCUUACUAACCUGUGACUGACAUUGAUGCGCGAAAGUGUGGGUAGCAAACAGGAUUAGAUACCCGAGUAGUC